GGGAGCCACUUCAUAUCUACUCUUUAUUUCAUUUGGGUUCUUUGAUCUUUUUGUAGUCGCUUCGUCUUCUAUAGUUGAAGCGACUCUCUUAACCUUCACUGGCAUCUUCUCUAGUUGCUUUGACUCUCUUCUAUUUGUUCAUCUUCUUUUGUUGGUUUUUUUGUAUUUAUCAACUAUGAAGUGUUUGCUAAAAUAGGUUAAAAUAGUAAGUCACAAAUUCCUUCUAUGAAUAUAGACACUAUUGGAAGUUUGCUAGAUCUCUUGUAAGCCCAUGUUACCUAAACUUUGAAUAUGUGCUGAGGUAUUUUGGAGGAGAGGAAAUGAUCAAAAGGAUAUGUCAUGUUCUUUUGAAGGUUUUUUUUUUUCCCUUGGUCAUAGUAGUUAAAACUAGCAAGGUGAGCAUGGGCUUUUUGUAUGCUUUUUUGUAUGAUAGAACAAAUGCUUAUUUUUCUCUUCGUUUUCAGUUAAGUUGCUUACCUUUUGUUGGGUUUUAUAUAUGGCACAUUACUCAGUAAGCUUAGAUUGGAUUAGCGAAAGAGAGCUUCCUUCAGUCCACUCAUGGGUGGAUUUAGGGUUUAAUUAGCUGCCGACUCAUUCAUUCAAAUACUAAGAUGAAGCAUCAGUUUCUUGGUAGCUGAGUGGAUGAUGCGGGAGGUAAGUUGGACCUUAUGCUGCCUAUGCUUGGACUGAAGGGAGCUCCCUUAGUUACAAACCCAUGCAAACAAUUAUAUGAUAUAUAUAUAUAUAUAUGUAUGCUGUACUCAUCUCUAUUUCACUCUUAUAUGUCUCUUUUGUCUGUAUCUAGAUAUUUUGAUAUUUUCUGGGGAAUCACUUGCAAGUUCAUGCAGGAUCUUAUCUCAAGUAAAUGCUUGUUAAUUAAUUACACUGCUUUUGUAGUUAUGGUCAUCUUAUGCAAUAAAGCCUUGUGAGUUUCUUGUAGGAAGUGUUUUUUUAAUUUGUUCUUAGGUUUAGUUAGAUUAUGAUCUAGUUGUUGAAUUUGGCCGUAGAUCUUACUCUUAGUUCAAUUUAUCUCUUCUCUUUUUAGUAAUGUUUGUGGAUUGAGUUUUGCGUUUGGUUCUUGACUCUGUGAGCUUAAGAUAGCUGCAUGCUUGUUUUUGAGUCAUACGAAAUUUCAAUAAUGACCUUUUUGUUGCUGUUGUUAAGUUAUGAAAGUAGGUUUCAGCAUGUCUCUUUCACGGGGAAAAGAAAAAGAAGUAAAAGACAUGUUUCUUCAUGGGUUCAGAUGGAUUUUAUACUUCUGUAAGCCUAAGAUCAUGCAUUUGCUCAGUUAUUGUUGCAGCAUACAUAUUGAAGAAAAGAGGAUCUCUCGUUGAAGUGCAUUGUAGGCGACAUUAAGACUUUGUUUGGCGUGGCAGCACUGGCAUUUAGGUUAUCCUGUUGGAUUCAGUUACAGAAGUCUCUUUGUUGAGCAUUAGCGUGCAUUCAGGGUUGUCUUUGCUUGAUCCAGUUGUUGUGUAUGAUGAUGAGGUGCUGUUUGCAUACUCGUAGCUCAGGCCCGCAUCACCGGAGCCGUGUGUACCGAGUAUUUUAUGUGGUCAUGAUGUGCUUGGGAGAAUAUAUGAGUGUUAAUUUGUUUCUAUACUGCAAUGCAUCCUCAAAGUUGAGUAGCAUGUACCAAUUAUAUACUUACUGGAAUAUCUGUUUGCCUCACAAAAGCUCUGAAUUGACCGCAAACCCCAACUUACAAUUAUAAGCAAGUUUCUCUGUGCGUUCUCCCCAGCGAGCUCGUCUUUGCAUGAGCAGCUGAAGUCCUGUAUUAAUGCUUCUGGUUCUGAACCUCAAAAAUUUCAUCUGCUUUCAAACCACAAAGCUUAUAUUUGUCGAAUUUUUUACUAGAGAUGGGUUGUAGCGAAUUGUGUAUGUUGUUAUAUGCUCUAUUGGUAGUCGACUUGUAUGAUCAUUUAUGUUUGCUGUGUUCAUUCUACAGAUUUUCCGUGAUGGCGCCUUGCGUUCAGAAGAUACUUAGCUGGUUACACUGCAACUCUUCAUGCACCUUCAAAUAGCUGUACUUGUUCUCAACCUAAUGGGCCAUGCAGGAGCAUCUAUCCGGCGGGCUUAAGAAGCGUUUGAUGUUGGCCGAUCAAGUUACUGUCAAUAUUCAUUUGUAGCGGUUUAAAUUUGCAUGAACAUCAGUUAUUCCUUCGUCCUGCUUUUAUCUAGUUAUUCCUAUGCGAAACAAAGACGUGGAGGCAAUUGAAUGAGUUUUUUUUUAAGAGAAAGAUAGUAUGCUAUUUGCUUUGUUUAAUUUAUUUUUUAAGAAAUAAACUUAGCUGGAAAUGUGAAUCAAUUAGGAUUCAAAUUUGGAACUCGGUACUAAUUAUUUAGUCUUUUAUUAUUUGUGUUGGAGACGGUCAGUAAUUGAAUGAGAUUUAUCGUCAGAGACCAUUUA